rnacentral:rRNA from 1 species
UACGUAGGUGACAAGCGUUGUCCGGAUUUACUGGGCGUAAAGAGCACGCAGGCGGUCGAUCAAGUCGAGUGUGAAAGCCCCCGGCUCAACUGGGGAGGGUCAUUCGAUACUGAUCGACUCGAAGGCAGGAGAGGGUAGUGGAAUUCCCGGUGUAGUGGUGAAAUGCGUAGAUAUCGGGAGGAACACCGAUGGCGAAGGCAAUCCCCUGGACCUGUACUGACGCUCAUGCACGAAAGCGUGGGGAGCAAACAGG